AGCGUCUGAGUUGGGGGCGCUCGGCGGGGACUUCCGCGGAGCAGGCGGGGGCGCGGGAGCAGCGCGCAGCUGUCCGCCCGGGUUCACCUGGGCGCCCGGGGUCACCGCCUCUGCCUGAGGACACGUUGCCGCGGGCUCCAGGGGACGCGGGUUCAUCCCAGCGCCCAAGUGUAACCUCCCCGCCCUUCGCUCGCUCACGUAGUCCCGGGUUUCGGGACGCGGAGUGCUGGCGAGGAGGCCGCUCGCGGCCCCGGCGGGGCCGGGGGAUAAACAAUCGCACAGGAUACACGACACCCUGGACUGUCACAAGUCCCUCGCAGGAAAAGAUAAAUAACAUCUGAGGAGCCGCGGCGCAGCUUCCCCGGCCGGACAGAAACUCGGCGAGAAAUUCCUCCUGAGGGCACAUUUCCGAUAUACCACGUGUACAAGAAUCCCCACCUCAGCUCUACUUCUGGGGAACUGACCCACAGCGUGGGGCUGGCUGACAUUUGUGAACGGAGAAAGCAGAGCUUGGAAAGACCAACCAGUCCCUCCUAAGCCCCUGGCAGCUGGAAGAACAUGGGUCUGCCCCAUGGAGUUUCUCUGCCAUUGACUUCCGGCCCCAGGGUGCUCGGCCAAAACCAUCCCUCAAGAAAAUGAUGAAGAGACAAUGAAUUCAAGUCAGUGUUACUUGAUCAACCAGAUAGUAAAUUUAAGGUGACCUGACCGUAGAGUCUCUGGAUUAAUCGGAAAACGUCUAUAAUUUCCAAAGAAAAAUUACCAACAAUUUCAAGGGUAAGAGAAUUGCUUUUCCAUAUGUCCUUGAAAUUGUUAAAAGCCAUUUUAUUUUCCAGUCUAGUACAGGAAAGGUUGGGGGGGGGUAGCUGAUUUGUUUUAAAAAGUAAAUUGACAAAAAUCCAUAGGUAUGUGGAAACUUUGUAAAAUUAUAAAUUUCCUUCUUAUACCAUAGCAAAGGAUAAACAUGAGUUGAGUAAUUUUUAUUUGAUUAGAUAAUUUCAGGCAGAUUUUACAUUCAGAAGCUUCAUUUUGGUAGCUUAAAUGCAAAAGGCUUUGGUGAUCAUUUGCAAAGAUGUUGUUAAACUUUCCAUUUUUUUUUUUUUUCUGUUUUAUUCUAAUUCCAGCAUAGUUAACAGUGUUAGUUUCAGGUAUACAAAGAGUGAUUCACCAAUUCCAUAUAUUACUCCGUGCCCACUAAGAUAAGUGCCUUCUUGACCCCCACACCUUUGAAUUUAAAAUUCUAUUUGCAUGUAUUACUGUUUUUAAAGGGAGAGCUACCGUUUCAGGGGUGACUGGCUGGCUCUGUUGGUGGGACUUGUGACUCUUGAUCUCGGCAUUGUGUUUAAGCCCCAUGUUGGGUACAGGGGUAAUUUAAAAAUAAAAUCUUAAAUAGAUAAAAACAAAACAAAAUGGCAGCUAUUAUUUCAAAGCCUUAAUUAAUCUAAUUGUAACUGCAGUGUAAUUGUUUCUUCAAAUGAGAUGCGGGACUCAAUUCCAGGACCCCGGGAUCAUGACCUGAAUCAAAGGCAGACACUUAGCUGACUGA